rnacentral:misc_RNA from 1 species
AAGACUAUAGACCUGCGGAGUACCUGCGGAAGGAUCAUUCACAAUAAGUGUUUUAUGGCACUUUAAUUCCAUAUCCACCUUGUGUGCAACGUAGUUCGUUUUUCGAACAAAACGUCAACAUUUUAAUUAUCAACAGAUCGUCUGAAGUAUUAUAUGAAUAAAUCAAUUCAAAAUACAACUUUUAACAACGGAUCUCU